UACAAGCGAAUGACUUUGAAAUAGGUUUG
rnacentral:piRNA from 1 species